UUCUCACCUGUCUUUCACUCAAUACAUAUCAUUGGGCCCAAUUAAUCACAAAACCCUUGAUUUUUGUAUAUACAACCGCCACCAACCGCUCGAUUGAUUUGAUUUCCUCUCUAAUUUUCUUAUAUUAACCCCUUUCUGUAAUUUUUCAGUUUAUUCUCUUCCUCCUUGAGCGUUCUUGCUUGGAAAAAGUCACCUCUUUUGUCCUAGUAGUAUAUUAUUGUUAAUAAAUUCGUGAAAUGAGUUCAAAUCUGGAUCGGACUUUAUCCAGAUUCGAAUUCGUACAUGAAUUUAUAAUAACAAUCGAAUUCAGGAGCUGUGAGUGUCGAGGGAACGAAUUCGCCACCGAAAUGACUUGAAUCGAGUGGCAGAGGCGAAGGUUGAUUCGGAAUUUAUGAAUGAGAGGUUUUACUGAGGUGCAGGAAGAAUGAAAAGAAAGAAUCAUGUAAAGAUGACUAGUUGAAAAUGAAACAUCAAGGCCAAGAAAGGAAUGUGGAAGAUGUGAAAAAUCAGGCAGGAAGUGGUUGCUGAUCUGGUUUGGGUUGGUGGGCGUGGUUGUGUUGCUGAUGCGGAAUGUUUUCGUCUCUAAGAACAGCAGCUGCAGAUACAUAAUAGGCGACCGCAAACAGUCCAUGAAUGAAACACAGGAUCCCUCCAAUAGACAGCUGCUGUUGAUGGCUCAUGCCGCAGUUCUUUCUUGUUUUCGAGUUGGACAACACUCCCGAUAUCAGCAGGAUGAAUGCAAUCCCCAACAUAAUCCUGUCAGAAUCCACCAUUAGUUUCAACAGUGUCUAGAAACACUGUGCUAAACAAUCUGAUAAUCAAAUACCAUGACAUCAUGAGGGAGGCAGCAGCGAGUUGCUUAUUAGGCGAAGCCCUGUCGAGUUCUUCUUUGGAGCUGAUGAAGACGCAUCCCGCCAGCAGAUUGGCUACAAUGUGUGCCAGGCACAGCAUCACCACCGCAGCCAGCCCAAAUUUGAAAGCCUCGUAGCUGGGAUCUCGGCACUCGAAUAUCCACACCCUCAGGUUUUGAGCCUAUACACAUCAAGCCAUAUGUUAAUGGUACUUAUUACAAUAAUUGAAAUGGGAGUGAGAUGGAAAGACGAACCUUGUUCUGAGCAACCUCGCCCUGUAUGCCGAGAACCCCGGCUAUGAUGUCCAGAGCCAUGAUGAGGAGACAUACGAGGAAAUCCAUGUUCUUGGCCAUGGCUGUCUCUUGAAAUUGAAUGGAUGUCGGAACUGUUUAGGUUUUGAGUAUAUAUUGUUGUUGAAUGUGGAGGAAUCAGAAUAAAGAGGAGGUGGAUUAGCUGGGUUUGAUUCUUGGAGUAGAAAAGGUGUCUUUUGUCUAACUUUAAUGGUGGGAUGGAUUCGUUUCAUGGCGAGGAAGAAAAGCAGUGCAUCUCCAGACUAGACCUGCAAACACCUUACUCCAUCUCCAUCUUCAUCUUCUUCUUCCUAUUCAUCCUUUAAACAUAGUACUAUUUCCUAUUAUUGAACAUAAUACAACAGUAUUUUCUCUUUGACA